GCAGAGGUGGCCGAGUGGUUUAAGGCGCACGCUUGGAAAGCGUGUGAGGUCAUAAGCCUCCGCAGGUUCAAAUCCUGUCCUCUGCGCCA
rnacentral:tRNA from 1 species